rnacentral:rRNA from 1 species
GAUGAACGCUAGCGGCAGGCUUAAUACAUGCAAGUCAAGGGGGUAGCAAUACAACCGGCGCACGGGUGAGUAACGCGUACACAACAUACCAUAUACUGGGGUAUAGCUUUGGGAAACUGAAGGUAAUCCCCCAUAACAUUGCGAGAGGGCAUCUGAUUGCAAUUAAAGUUUCGGCGGUAUAUGAUUGGUGUGCGUUUGAUUAGCUAGUUGGUAGGGUAACUGCCUACCAAGGCGACGAUCAAUAGCUGGCGUGAGAGCGCGACCAGCCACACUGGAACUGAGACACGGUCCAGACUCCUACGGGAGGCAGCAGUAGGGAAUAUUGGACAAUGGGCGCAAGCCUGAUCCAGCCAUGCCGCGUGAUAGAUGAAGGCCCUCUGGGUUGUAAAUAUCUUUUACCUGGGAAGAAACUCCUCUAUUCUUAGAGGCCUGACGGUACCAGAGGAAUAAGCACCGGCUAACUCCGUGCCAGCAGCCGCGGUAAU